AAAUGAAUUGACGGGGACCCGCACAAGCAGCGGAGCAUGUGGUUUAAUUCGAAGCAACGCGAAGAACCUUACCAAGACUUGACAUAUAUAUGCAUAGUAUUGAAAGAUAUGAAAGGCUAAGUUUACUUAGCCCAUAUAAACAGAUGGUGCAUGGUUGUCGUCAGCUCGUGUCGUGAGAUGUUGGGUUAAGUCCCGCAACGAGCGCAACCCCUGUAUUUAGUUGCCAGCAUUCAGUUGGGCACUCUAGAUAGACUGCCGUAGAUAAUACGGAGGAAGGUGGGGAUGACGUCAAAUCAUCAUGCCUCUUACGUCUUGGGCUACACACGUGCUACAAUGGACGGUACAAAGAGAAGCAAGAUAGCAAUAUGGAGCAAAACUGUAAAAGCCGUUCUCAAUUCGGACUGUGGGCUGCAACCCGCCCACACGAAGAUGGAGUUGCUAGUAAUCCCGGAUCAGCACGCCGGGGUGAAUGCGUUCCCGGGUCUUGCACACACCGCCCGU
rnacentral:rRNA from 1 species